rnacentral:lncRNA from 1 species
AAGUUUGCACUAAUAUGUGUUCAUAAUAAGUCCGAGUUUUGUAUGAUUCGUCAGUAAAAUAUACAUUGGCAGUAAGGUAAUUUUUGAGUAGUCUCCAUGCUUCUUCAGAAUUUUCUUGCCCGGGAAUAUGCUGAUUUUCAAUAUAUAAUAUAAGCUCUCUAGCAUCCAGUUUUUCAUAUGAAGGCUUAUCGUCAGAAUUUUCUUGAACUAUGGACGCAAAAGAAUCUGCAGUUUUUUGUUGAUCUGAUAAAUAAGAUUGCAGUUGUUUGUAUAAUGGAUGAUUUUC